UUUCCUACGGGAGGCAGCAGUGGGGGAUAUUGGACAAUGGGGGGAACCCUGAUCCAGCGACGCCGCGUGAGUGAAGAAGUAUUUCGGUAUGUAAAGCUCUGUCAGCAGGGAAGAAAGCAAUGACGGUACCUGACCAAGAAGCCCCGGCUAACUACGUGCCAGCAGCCGCGGUAAUACGUAGGGGGCAAGCGUUAUCCGGAAUUACUGGGGGUAAAGGGAGCGUAGACGGUUGUGCAAGUCUGGAGUGAAAGGCGGGGGCCCCACCCCCGGUCUGCUCUGGAAACUGU
rnacentral:rRNA from 1 species